rnacentral:rRNA from 1 species
GGCCAGACUCCUACGGGAGGCAGCAGUGGGGAAUAUUGCACAAUGGGGGAAACCCUGAUGCAGCGACGCCGCGUGAGCGAUGAAGUAUUUCGGUAUGUAAAGCUCUAUCAGCAGGGAAGAAAAUGACGGUACCUGACUAAGAAGCCCCGGCUAACUACGUGCCAGCAGCCGCGGUAAUACGUAGGGGGCAAGCGUUAUCCGGAUUUACUGGGUGUAAAGGGGGCGUAGACGGUCCUGCAAGCCAGAUGUGAAAACCCGGGGCUCAACCCCGGGACUGCAUUGGAAACUGUCAGGCUAGAGUGUCGGAGAGGCAAGUGGAAUUCCUAGUGUAGCGGUGAAAUGCGUAGAUAUUAGGAGGAACACCAGUGGCGAAGGCGGCUUGCUGGACGAUGACUGACGUCGAGGCUCGAAAGCGUGGGGAGCAAACAGGAUUAGAUACCCCCGUAC